AACGAACGCUGGCGGCAUGCCUAACACAUGCAAGUCGAACGAAGCCUUCGGGCUUAGUGGCGCACGGGUGCGUAACGCGUGGGAAUCUGCCCUUGGGUUCGGAAUAACAGUUAGAAAUGACUGCUAAUACCGAAUGAUGUCUUCGGACCAAAGAUUUAUCGCCCAAGGAUGAGCCCGCGUCGGAUUAGCUAGUUGGUGAGGUAAAGGCUCACCAAGGCGACGAUCCGUAGCUGGUCUGAGAGGAUGAUCAGCCACACUGGGACUGAGACACGGCCCAGACUCCUACGGGAGGCAGCAGUGGGAAUAUUGGACAAUGGGCGAAAGCCUGAUCCAGCAAUGCCGCGUGAGUGAUGAAGGCCUUAGGGUUGUAAAGCUCUUUUACCCGGGAUGAUAAUGACAGUACCGGGAGAAUAAGCCCCGGCUAACUCCGUGCCAGCAGCCGCGGUAAU
rnacentral:rRNA from 1 species